GACGAACGCUGGCGGCGUGCUUAACACAUGCAAGUCGAACGGAAAGGCCCUGCUUUUUUGGGGUGCUCGAGUGGCGAACGGGUGAGUAACACGUGAGUAACCUGCCCUUGACUUUGGGAUAACUUCAGGAAACUGGGGCUAAUACCGGAUAGGAGCUCCUGCUGCAUGGUGGGGGUUGGAAAGUUUCGGCGGUUGGGGAUGGACUCGCGGCUUAUCAGCUUGUUGGUGGGGUAGUGGCUUACCAAGACUUUGACGGGCUGCCGGCCUGAGAGGGUGACCGGGCACAUUGGGAAUGAGAUACCGCCCAGACUGCUACGGGAGGCAGAGGUGGGGAAUAUUGCACAAUGGGCGGAAGCCUGAUGCAGCAACGCCGCGUGCGGGAUGACGGCGUUCGGGUUGUAAACAGCUUUCGCCUGUGACGAAGCGUGAGUGACGGUAAUGGGUAAAGAAGCACCGGCUAACUACGUG
rnacentral:rRNA from 1 species